UCCCGAGCGUUNUCCGGAUUUAUUGGGCGUAAAGCGAGCGCAGGCGGUUAGAUAAGUNUGAAGUUAAAGGCUGUGGCUUAACCAUAGUACGCUUUGGAAACUGUUUAACUUGAGUGCAGAAGGGGAGAGUGGAAUUCCAUGUGUAGCGGUGAAAUGCGUAGAUAUAUGGAGGAACACCGGUGGCGAAAGCGGCUCUCUGGUCUGUAACUGACGCUGAGGCUCGAAAGCGUGGGGAGCGAACAGGAUUAGAUACCCUGGUAGUCCACGCCGUAAACGAUGAGUGCUAGGUGUUAGGCCCUUUCCGGGGCUUAGUGCCGCAGCUAACGCAUUAAGCACUCCGCCUGGGGAGUACGACCGCAAGGUUGAAACUCAAAGGAAUUGACGGGGGCCCGCACAAGCGGUGGAGCAUGUGGUUUAAUUCGAAGCAACGCGAAGAACCUUACCAGGUCUUGACAUCCCGAUGCCCGCUCUAGAGAUAGAGUUUUACUUCGGUACAUCGGUGACAGGUGGUGCAUGGUUGUCGUCAGCUCGUGUCGUGAGAUGUUGGGUUAAGUCCCGCAACGAGCGCAACCCUUAUUGUUAGUUGCCAUCAUUCAGUUGGGCACUCUAGCGAGACUGCCGGUAAUAAACCGGAGGAAGGUGGGGAUGACGUCAAAUCAUCAUGCCCCUUAUGACCUGGGCUACACACGUGCUACAAUGGCUGGUACAACGAGUCGCAAGUCGGUGACGGCAAGCUAAUCUCUUAAAGCCAGUCUCAGUUCGGAUUGUAGGCUGCAACUCGCCUACAUGAAGUCGGAAUCGCUAGUAAUCGCGGAUCAGCACGCCGCGGUGAAUACGUUCCCGGGCCUUGUACACACCGCCCGUCACACCACGAGAGUUUGUAACACC
rnacentral:rRNA from 1 species